rnacentral:rRNA from 1 species
AAGGAAUAUUGGUCAAUGGACGCAAGUCUGAACCAGCCAUGCCGCGUGAAGGAUGAAGGUCCUCUGGGUUGUAAACUUCUUUUAUAGGGGAAGAAACCUCUUGAUUCUUCGAGAGUUGACGGUACCCUAGCAAUAAGCACCGGCUAACUCCGUGCCAGCAGCCGCGGUAAUACGGAGGGUGCAAGCGUUAUCCGGAUUCACUGGGUUUAAAGGGUGCGUAGGUGGGCAGGUAAGUCAGUGGUGAAAUCCCCGAGCUUAACUCGGGAACUGCCGUUGAUACUAUCUGUCUUGAAUAUCGUGGAGGUAAGCGGAAUAUGUCAUGUAGCGGUGAAAUGCUUAGAUAUGACAUAGAACACCCAUUGCGAAGGCAGCUUACUACACGAUCAUUGACACUGAGGCACGAAAGCGUGGGGAGCAAA